GACGAACGCUGGCGGCGUGCUUAACACAUGCAAGUCGAACGGAAAGGCCCUGCUUUUGUGGGGUGCUCGAGUGGCGAACGGGUGAGUAACACGUGAGUAACCUGCCCUUGAAUUUGGGAUAACUUCAGGAAACUGGGGCUAAUACCGGAUAGGAGCUCCUGCUGCAUGGUGGGGGUUGGAAAGUUUCGGCGGGUGGGGAUGGACUCGCGGCUUAUCAGCUUGUUGGCGGGGUAGUGGCUUACCAAGGCUUUGACGGGUAGCCGGCCUGAGAGGGUGACCGGCCACAUUGGGACUGAGAUACGGCCCAGACUCCUACGGGAGGCAGCAGUGGGGAAUAUUGCACAAUGGGCGGAAGCCUGAUGCAGCAACGCCGCGUGCGGGAUGACGGCCUUCGGGUUGUAAACCGCUUUCGCCUGUGACGAAGCGUGAGUGACGGUAAUGGGUAAAGAAGCACCGGCUAACUACGUG
rnacentral:rRNA from 1 species